UUUAUAGUGACUCCAGCUAGUCAAAAACGAUGGUUAACAUUCUUUAUGAUUUCAUCUUACUGACCAAUUGGCAUGUGGUUAACCACUCUUCCACUCUUAAAACACCCUUGGCUUCCCUGAGACCAUGUUCUUUGGAUUUUUUCCCAUACCAUUGGCUUUUGUUUCACUCCUUUGGGUUUUCUUUCUUUGCUCAACUCCUAAAUUUUUGAGUACUCUAUAGGCUUGAUUUUGGUUUCUCUGUUUGUUUUCUGUCUUUAUCCUCAUUCUAGGCAAUCUCAUAACCACCAGAAUUAUGACAAUUUCCAAAUGUAUUUCACUAGCCCCACUAAGAUCCAAACUUACAUAUCCAACCUCCUCCUUAAUAUGAAAUUUGAUAGCUAAUAAUCAUUUGAAACCAGAAUUCUUGAUUCCUCUCUCAAAUCUGUUCUUGUCUUUAUCAUUUCAGUAAAUGACAUAUCUACUUAGUUGUUCAAGCUAAAAACCUAGAAGUCAUUCUUGAUUCCUUCCUUUCUGUCACCCCUGUGUCCAUCCAUCAGCAAAUCUAGUCAGCUCACCCUCCAAAAUCAAUCUCAAAUCUGAUUAUCUCUUUUAUUCUCUAUCUUUACUCUCUUAGUCCAAAUAAUUGGCUGCAGUAACUAUCUAACUGGUCUCCAUGCUUCUAUGUUUGCCCCCUUACAACCCAUCCUCUACAUAGCAUUCAGGGUGAUUUUUUAAGGAAAAUGUAACUCAGCGCAUGUCUAUUCUCUAUCAUUUAAAUUAAACAAAAUUCGACUUCUUCACUUUGUGUGAUUUGGUCUCAUCACACAAGCUUUAUCCAUUUGAGAUUUUGUUAAUUUGUUAUCAGG
rnacentral:lncRNA from 1 species